rnacentral:rRNA from 1 species
GAUGAACGCUGGCGGCGUGCCUAAUACAUGCAAGUCGAGCGAACAGACGAUGAGCUUGCUCCUCUGACGUUAGCGGCGGACGGGUGAGUAACACGUGGAUAACCUACCUAUAAGACUGGGAUAACUUCGGGAAACCGGCGCUAAUACCGGAUAAUAUAUUGAACCGCAUGGUUCAAUAGUGAAAGACGGUUUUGCUGUCACUUAUAGAUGUAUCCGCGCCGCAUUAGCUAGUUGGUAAGGUAACGGCUUACCAAGGCAACGAUGCGUAGCCGACCUGAGAGGGUGAUCGGCCACACUGGAACUGAGAAACGGUCCAGACUCCUACGGGAGGCAGCGGUAGGGAAUCUUCCGCAAUGGGCGAAGGCCUGACGGAGCAACGCCGCGUGAGUGAUGAAGGUCUUCGGAUCGUAAAACUCUGUUAUUAGGGAAGAACAAAUGUGUAAGUAACUAUGCACGUCUUGACGGUACCUAAUCAGAAAGCCACGGCUAACUACGUG